UUAGUGGCGGACGGGUGAGUAACGACGUGGGUAACCUGCCUCAUACAGGGGGAUAACAGUUGGAAACGACUGCUAAGACCGCAUAACCCGCUAGUGUCGCAUGACGACGGACGGAAAAUAUUUAUAGGUAUGAGAUGGGCCCGCGUCUGAUUAGCUAGUUGGUAAGGUAACGGCUUACCAAGGCGACGAUCAGUAGCCGACUUGAGAGAGUGAUCGGCCACAUUGGGACUGAGACACGGCCCAAACUCCUACGGGAGGCAGCAGUGGGGAAUAGUUGGACAAUGGGGGAAACCCUGAUCCAGCGAACCGCCGCGUGAGUGAAGAAGUAUUUCGGUAUGUAAAGCUCUAUCAGCAGGGAAGAUAAUGACAGUACCUGACUAAGAAGCCCCGGCUAACUACGUGCCAGCCGCUGC
rnacentral:rRNA from 1 species